GCAGUGGUGGGUCAGGGGUUAAAGCCUCUGGAUUACUGCUCAGAAGGUCAGGAGUUCAAACUCCAAUACUGCC